UACAGAGGUGGCAAGCGUUGUUCGGAAUUACUGGGCGUAAAGGGCGCGUAGGCGGCCAUCUAAGUCAGACGUGAAAUCCCCCGGCUUAACCUGGGAACUGCGUCUGAUACUGGAAGGCUCGAGUUUGGGAGAGGGAUGUGGAAUUCCAGGUGUAGCGGUGAAAUGCGUAGAUAUCUGGAGGAACACCGGUGGCGAAGGCGGCAUCCUGGACCAACACUGACGCUGAGGCGCGAAAGCUAGGGGAGCGAACAGG
rnacentral:rRNA from 1 species